UGUGCUGAGGGAAAGAGAGGGCAGGAGAAAGCAGGGUGGCCCGGUCCAUUCACUCCCACAAGCACUCUGACUAAUUAAUGAGUGUAUGUGGGCACUCAUUAUGAGCCAGGACUCAAGGGAAGGUACAAUCUCAGCAGCUGGAAAGAGCAAACACAGCAUGGAGCUUGCAGAAAGAGACCAUGACGCUAGUACGGAGCAUCCUGCGCUGCACAGUGAGGCAAAAAGGGGUAAUAUUUAGCUAUUUUAACAAAAAGCACAACGCUGGGCUUAACAGAAGCAGCAAACUUCACUGGGAGUGGAAAGGGAGCUUUUGCUUUAAGAUCUAGUAGGAAGGAUGUGACCUAAAAUGGAACUGUAAAAAUAGAUGAGGCUCAAAUGUGCUCUAGGGUUUGCUGAGGAUGUGAAAACCUUUUGUUACUUAUCUGAUUUUGGAUACAUGUAGGAGAGAAAGAGCUACAAUCAUUGCAAAACAUGUAGGAUGGUAAAAAAAACACCUUACCAGUGGAGGUAAUGAACUUGCACCACUCUGCCCUUUUAGUAAAAAUAAGAGGGGAUAAUAUGUAAAAAUAAAACCUAGAUUCAUUAACUUUGGGAGGAUUUGCUUGAUGGGCAAAUUUUUAAAAAAGUAAUUGAAAAGGCUGUCCAAAAAAGCUCCAGACUGUACUCUUUUUCUUAUCAGCCCAUCUUCUCAGUCCAUACACCCUUGCUUUCUGGGUGGAGUGGGUGUUUGUACACCCACAACUUGUAGUAACAAUUAAAAUCAUUGAGUUGCAGCCUGUGGGAGCUGCCUGAGAGCGGGGGGGGGGGGUGUGUGAAAACUCAGGUGAGUGAGGUGCAGCGGUGCAACUCUUCUCCCCUUGAAACGGAGGAAACACAAACACGAUAUGAACCACGACUGACCAACACCGCUGAGCCUGUCGCCCUCACGUGCAGCCCUCUGAGACCCCAGAAGGCCGGUAGAAAUCAUCUUUUUGAGGGAUCGUUGGCAAAAAGGGAUUCAAAAUAACGGAGGUAACCGGGUUUACCGCCCGGGGGUGCCUCUGUGUGUGGGCCCUGGGGGGGCCCGACGUGGGAGGCAGCGCCGGGGGCGGCCCAGCGUGUGCUGGGGGGGGAGCACCGUGUGUUGGGGGGUCCCUCGCGGUGUGUGGGGGCUCCCCAGUCCGCGGGGAGGUGGGGGGUCCCAAACGGCGGGGGCCUCCCCCCGCUCCCCCCUCGCUGGCGUAGCACUCACCCCGCGCUCAGCGCGCCGCAGCCAUCUUGUUUACAGGCCGUUGCCACGGCGACGAAGCGCCGCUGCCCAUUGGCUCAGACCCGGUCACGUGGAGGGCGAGGCAGCCUGAGGACUACACAUCCCAGCAUGCACCGCUCCGCCGCCCCCCGGGGACACCGGACAUGGCGGGGGGACCCGGGCCGUGGGGGCCGGGCCCGGGGCCUAUGGGACCUGCCGCCGUCCCUGCUGCCCCUUCGGGUGCCACCGGGGGUCAGCGCGCCUCCGCGGGCUGCUCCGGGGCUACCAGAGCCUGUGCCAGGGGUCAUCCAUCCUCCCCGAACCCCGAGGGCCGCUUGAGGAGGGAGGCCCGGGCCACCAGCCAGGCCGAACGGCUCCCUGCCUGUCCUCCGCCCUGCACCGCGGCCCGCAAAAUGGUGCGUUUUCAACCUCAGUUUGCUUCAGAGGGCUUCAAACGUUUCCCUGUGCUGGGAGCCAGCCGGAGCACCAUAUGCCAUCACGCUGCCCCUCCUCAGCCACCCUCUGCACACCCGUAGCUCCAGCUGGUAGGCGCGGGCUGUGGCACAGCCUGACCUGAGGCAUCACAGCUCCUCCUGAUUCCCUCACCUGCCUCUUCUCUAUUUUCUAGCAAUGCUUUCCCUCACCCCAGUACUACCACACACCCUUUUUUCCUCGCUGAUUCUCUGGACUCCACCCAGCGCUUGCCGCCAUCCAGAGACCUUUCCCUGUGUGUCACCCGUCCUGCCUGUCCCUGCUGUCCUGAUCUGGGAGCUCAGAGAACUCGGCCUCGAUAGUUGGAGAGGGGCAGAACAGGCCGAUUUUUAGCACCUUUUACGGGAUGUUGGCUGGCCCCAAGAGACUUGUGUUUUGACACUUCUGUGAAGUGCAAAAAUAAAAUUUGGUGAAGCUUUGCCGCAGAGGAGUCUUCAGCUCCGGGCGGAGGCUGCCAGCAGGCUCACUGCGCUGUGAUGUGCUUCACCAACACAAAACCAGACAGCAGGUGUAUGGGCUCGUCGCGUUUCAGUAGCUUUACUUAUUUCAAACCGUCUCAAAAAAGCCAGAUGCCUUUUGUUUCCUCCUGCUGCUGCAGUUGAGUGGGUGAGAGUGCUCAGAGAUCUGCUGUGAGGAGAUGGAUUUCUGGGGGCUGGAAGGAAGCAUUUCCCUGAUCCAUUGCCUGGAUCAGACGACCCCAGGCGUGUAACUGAAAUUCAGAGGGACAGCUUGGACCCGGCUUCUGCCCUGAGUUGCAGGGAAGGAAUUUUUUUACAUGGCACAACACGGAGCCCUUGUUGAAACAUUGGCCGCGAUUUGCAAACCCUUCCAGUAAACCAGGGCAGGUUUUAACCCAUAACCACUUCAUGGGUGUGGGGUACAGGACAGGCAGCCCCCAGGGAGAAGCAGAGCUCGGCCUGGGGGGGGUUUCAUGCUGCAGGUGGUAUUUUGUGAUGUGGGAAAAGGCAGGGUGAGGGUCUCGCUGCCUUUGCUGGAGAUGGUGGCCAGGAUAUCCCACUCGGGGCUGGCUGUGUGGCCAUGCUGGGGAGCAGGAGCUGCUCUCGUGCUGGGUGAUGUAGAUCGAUGGCUCCAGAGAAUUGAAGCCAAAAGGACUGUGCAGGGUUGUGUCUGUCUGGAGAUCCCCGUGUCUUGCAAUUUCUCCCUUGCAGCAUCCGCAGUGGAUGUGACUUCCCCAGAGUGCCCCGGGCUCAAACGGGAAGGAAGGUGUGAUUGGUGAGACAGGGCCAUCGCUGUGCUUAAAGCCUCCGACUGCAAUCACUGUGAGCAGAUGAGGAAGUGUCACUGCACACCCUGAGCCGAGCCCCGACCAUGCAGCCCCUCCAGCGUGCCCACCUGCUCCUCCUGCUCGCCCUGAUUCUCCUCUGCAUGCGCCUCGGCCAGGCUGCAGAGGUGUCUUCCACCACCGCAACAUCGACAGCUCCCUCCCCGCAAAGCAGCCUGAGCCCCCCCUGCGGCAGCCCAGGCCUCCUGCCCCUCGCCCUGGGGCUGGCCGCAGCCUUCCUCCUGCGCCUGCGCUGACCCCCAGAACGGCGUCCCCCGCCCCGCCACCUCCUUGGAGCCUCGCACGAUGGAGGACCAGCAUCACACCAUCGCUCCCCUCCCUGCUCUCUGCUCCCGCUCCCUCCGGCCUCACCGCCCCGGGCUCCAAGCAAGGCCCCGGGGCUGGCUGAGCAGAGCCGCUGCGAGGCACUGAGAAAUAAAGUGCUGGUGUAGAAG